CAUUAAAUACCGUAUUCCGGUAUAUACCGGACAAGGCGUUAAAAUGCAAGUGUCACUCACGUGUUUAAUUGUACUCCAUAACUGUAGUAAGUUAAUUACAUCAUAAUUUAUGAUUAUACAUCUUUUUUACUUGCAGUGGUUGGUCGCAAUAAUUUGGCUGCUCAGAAAGGACGUCCGGGCCCUCCAGAAAAAGCUCAGACAGGCAUAGAUUCGACAAAAACAGCAAAAGAAAACAACCUGAAAGUGGUAUCAAAGGACGAAAAGCAAACAAAGAAUCGACAAGUUACUUCUUCUGCUGAAAAGCAUGUCUACUUCUCGUUGGCAUUAACUAAGACGCUGAAAGAUGUAAGUGCUAACCACGUGAUCAUUUUUGACUUGGUUUAUAGCAAUGAAGGGUUUGGAUAUAAUAUUAAAACAGGAAUGUUCAUAGCCCCAGUUAAAGGAACAUACUUCUUGAUGUUCUUUGUUGAAGUAUUAAAUGUAAAGGGAAAAGCAGCUCAUGUCAACCUUUUUGUAGACGGCAAGGAAAAAGCAUCUGCGCGUGCAGAGGCGUGGCAUGACGGACAGGAUGUGACGUCAGCAAAUGCAGUCGUGAUGCAUUUAUCAAAAGGGCAGAAAGUCUGGCUACAAACAGCGGCACCGCUGAAUAAAAUGCAUGACAUUGAUAAAAGGAAAACAACAUUUACUGGAGUUUUACUGUAUCAAUGAAUGAAAACAAUCACAAUACAAGUCAACAGGAUAAUGUGUUCUACAACAAACGAAUUGUAUAUUUCAUUUGUAAAAUCGGUUUCAUAAUUUCAUCAUUUAUUUCCAGAGUUGAAAAUCCUGGGGUAUAAUUUUUCAACUGCAGAAUUUUUGUUUGGUUUUGGUUUAUGUUUUUUCCUAUUGUUAUUCUUCUUGUUUGUGUGUGCAUAAACACAUAUAAUUUUCACACAUAUGCGGGCGAUACAUAGUAUUUUUUACUUAGGAUUUGAUCAACAUCGAGUCAGUACAUUACAACUGUUACGUAAUUAUUAAAGGGAUUCUCGGGAAAAUUAAUGACAAAUAUAUCAAAAUUAUCUUAUGUACUCAAAUCACGCUAAAUUGACUUUUGUUAAAGUUCCAGCAUGAAUUUCUGUAUAAAUUCUAUAUAUUUUGGGUUUGAAGCGUAAAUAUAUCUAUGUAUACAUGUUGAACGAAAUUUAGACACCAACAGAAUCAUAGAGCAGUUUGAAAACAAGUCAUGUGACAACAAACCCUGGAAGGUAUAAUAUCAGAAAUUGUGGAUAUUGUAUGAUUGAAACAAACCUAAAUCAUUCAUUUGACAUGUUCAAUAACGUUUCCAGGGUUCACUGAUACAACUAUUGUGGUUUCUUAACGCUCUAAUCAGACCCACGUGGAUCACAAAUUCGUUUCCUUGAGUCUUUUUAAAAUGUUCUUCACCAUAUAGAUUUUUCUUAUAACCAAAUUAUUGUAAACCGUCAGAUUUAUUCCCGGAUCAAAACAUCUGAAUAAUAAACUGCAACAUUUAUCAUAUAAAAACAAGUUGAAAAAAUUCUGCAAGAGCUAGUAAAACUAUCUAAUUUUC